rnacentral:lncRNA from 1 species
GGAGCAAGGUUCGUGGACUUAGGCUUGAGGAAGAGGCAGGUGAUGUGUGCAGUAAGGUCACGGGGACGGGAAGAAGGGAGAGGAGAUAAGCAGGCGUGUGUGAGCGUGGGUAGGAAGGAGGAGGUGGAAGAGGAAGAAGUUCUUGAAAGCUGGGGGGAUGUGUAGGCAAGAGGCAGAUUGAACAGGAUCUCAGGUUUAUGUCAGGAAAGGGAGGAAGGAAGCAGCAGUCAGACAGAGGCAUUUCUGUGCAAACUGGAAGAAUCCUGACUUCUGGGACAGAGGGACAGCGGCCGGCACCAGGCAGGAGGUAACUGGGGCUGGGUGAGGUCUGGGCAAGGCCAUGUUGUUGGGAUGGAAUUUCAGGGAGGCACUGGGAGGAUGCUGGGUAUCCCGGCACUUCCUCUUGGCCUUCCUGGUGUCCCCUCCACUGUGAUGGUCCCUAGGCACGCACAGAGGCCAGGUCCAAUCGCAGCUGGUCAGGGCCGUGGCCAGGGAGGGAACCCUUCGAGUUGUGUGCAUGUGAGUGAGUGUUCAGCUGCCUCGCAGUGUCCCCACAUAUCCUGGUAGAUAAGAGGCCUGUGACCCCAGCGCUCCAUGACAGUUGCCACAGGGAGCAGGGAAUCUCAGUGCCCUACCUACCCCAGGUCACAGAGCGCACCCAGCAGGGUUCAGAGUGAUCAGCCCCAUCUAUGGGUAGGUGUCGUCGCCCCCCGCCACCAUGGGUGAAGCCCCCAGAGCAGAAGAGCCAACCCUUCUUCUACCUCUGCUGGGUGGAGUGCUUCUUGCCUCUGCUUACCUAUUUGGAGUAUGGAGAGAUUCCUCCCUUUAGCCGUUCAUUCAUUUAGCAUGUAUUUAUUGGACAUCCAUGAUAUCCCAGUCUUUGGCACUGGGGACACAGCAGUAAAUAAACUAGAUCAAAAUCCCUCCCUUCCUGGAGCACUGUCAGGGGAGAGGGGGUGAUCGACAACAGUCACACCAAUGAACACAGAGGCUGAGCCCCUUCAGACCUAGCCCCGGAGCCCCUCUGUCCUCUUGGGGAGGCAGCAAGCCUGUGAUUGGCUGGCUGGCUCAUUGGAACCCACAGGGGUUCUUCGACUCUCAUAUGCUGUUGAGUUCCCUGCUGCUUCCACCGCCAUUAGGUAUUUGCCAAGAAGCCUGCCCGGCAAUGCUUCCGCCUGCUCCUCACUGCAGAUUAGAGAUGGGAAAAGUUGGGGGCCCAAGAACUUUGGGAGCGAGUCAGCAUCUGUCUUGGUUUGUGAGAAAGUUUCUGCCUCUCAUUCUGGCCAGCUCCUUCCGGUAGCCAUGAGGCAGGCUGCAAGAAACAAACUGCCUGUGAAAAGAGAACAGAGCUCACCAUUCGGAAGAUCUGCAUCUUUACCCUAAAAUUGGGACGUUAAAAAUGUCAACAAAUGCGCCCUCCUGCGCCGUAAUGGGGCUGGCGGUGAACUGGAUGCAUGCGGUGCACCAGGAUGGGAGGAACACGAGCCUGGGAGCUGAGAGGAGAGAUGUUUUCAAGUCCCACCUCAUCUUACCGUGGUGACCUUGACAGGGGUGACCUUGAGAGGCCUGCACUCAAAGCGGCAGAUGACACGGAAUGAUUGAGGACCAGGGCUCAAGGUCCUUGCCAGCUCUGACACGCUGUCAUUCUUUGAUUUUAUUAUGUACACAUAAAUAUUUUUUUCUGUCUGUCGCUUUAAGAACUAACCCUACUCAAGAGUAUUUUCUUUAGCUAGUUUAAAAAGAAAAAAAAGUAUUUAAUAAACAAGUAUGUGGCCAAAUGCAGUGCUGAAGAGACAAUCAUCGUAUAGCUUUAUAAUUUUUUUUCCUGCCUCUGAGUGUCAUCUGACAAUGCCGAUUAGUCUCAUUUUGUUGGGUUUCUGCUUUCGGGUAUGGUUUGAUUGCCUAGGUUUGUCACCGGGAGGAGACAUUCUUAGGCAGCUACCUCCAUGUAAGUGAACUCCUGGAGAAAGCAAGUUUGCCUUUCAAUAAACGGUAUCACCC